GCUCUAUCAGACUGUGUGUAGAGCCAAAGCACAUGGGCACCAAGUGUCAUUACCUGGUGAGGUUCUACCUGUUCCUGGUGUUGUAAAGGAUGGGCCUGGAACAAUGCCACACAAUGUGCCAGUCAGCUGGACUUUGCUGCACCGCCUGUCCUUGGUGGAAAAAUUCUUCCAGACUGACACCUUUUACCACAAGUCCAUUAGUCAGUGGUCAGCACAGAAAGCCCUGCAGGAUAAGGACUGAUUGGACUUAGUGGCAUGGUCCCCUGAGUAGACUGCCCAGUUUGUCUGGCGAAAUGCCUUAUCGGCAGAACUCACCAACAAGCACCAAGAUCUCGCUUGGCUUGCCCUGAGAGGGGUCAACCCAAUCAGAUCCUUCUUGUACUGUCUAAAUCUUAUUACUAAUGCAUGUUGCCCUUGGGACGGCUGCCAUGGAGAGGAGAUGAUUGUCUACCUCUUUGCAUAGUGUGGAUUUGCAAAGAGGAUCUGGAGAAUGAUGCAAUGGUCCUUAUCACAGCUCAUCCCGGGCAGCUCACUAACGGAGGACUUUCUGAUUUAUGUGCAGUUCCCAGGGACACUUUCAAAGAUGGACAUCAAGAGCUGCUGGAAGAUCUUCAACUCGGUGAAAGUAAUUUUUUGGUCUGCCUGUAACUUAUUGGCCAACCGGCAUAUCGGAUGUCCAUCAGGGAACUGGCCCAUCCCAGACUGCAGGACUUUGUGCCGAGGGACUCACUAAAGUUUGUGUAUACGUUGAUGAUGACCUGGAGCUGAGAAUCCCAAUGUGCAUAAAUACAACAAUCAUCUGCAGACAGACACAAAAUGCUGGCGUAACUCAGCGGGACGGGCAUAAUCUCUGGAGUGAAGGAAUGGGUGUCGUUUUGGUUGAGACCCUUCUUCAGACUGCAGACUGUAACUUGUCGAUGGAGAUCGUUGAUAUAAACCACAACAGCAAUUGGCCCAGCACUGAACCAUGAGGCACACCGCUAGUCACAGGCCUCCAUUCUGGAAAAACAAUCUUCGACCACCACUCCGUUUCCUUCCAUGAAGUCAAUUCUGUAGCAGGCAGCUGAAUUGAGUGCCCUUUAUGUGCCCUUUAUGUGGCUUCCUGUACAGUGGGGAGACCGGGUGUGGACUAGGUGACCGCUUUGCCCAGUACCUGCAUUCUGUCCACCAUCUGAAGCUCCCAACAGCUGGCCAUUUUAAUGUAUCUUCUUAUUCACGCAUUGACCUGUUUGUCCUUGGCCUCCUCCACUUCCAGAGUGAGGCCAAACCCAAACUUGGGGAAAAGCACUUCAUAUUCUACUUGGGUCACCUACAACCCAACGGCGUGAUAUUCUCUAAUUUCAGAUGACUUCUACCCCUCUGCCCCUUUCUCUUUCCUAACAUAUCCUGGCCCUCUCACACACAAUCUUCUUUCCAACCCCAACCACAUCUGCCCUACACCCAGUUUCUUUACUCUUCCCCAUCCAUUCUAACUGUCUCUCACCUACACACUCUUCCCAUUGUUCCCCUCUCCCCACUGUUCCCCUCGGCCCACCCUAAUUCCCUUAUUCGGUUCUAUGCUUCACCUUCCUUUCCUAUUGGAGUCAACCACAUUACUGUGGGUCCGGAGGCACAUGUGGGCCGGUCCAGAGAAAUAUGGCAGAUUUCCUCCCCCUGAAUGGACAUUAAUGAACCAGAUGUGUCUUUACAACAAUCAAGGAUGGUUUUCAUGGUUAUUGUUCGACUUUUUCAUUCCAAUUUUUAAUUUGAAUUUAUCACCAUAUGUGACAGUGGACUUUAAAUCCUGGUCUCCAGGACUUUGCCCUAGGUACCGAGGUUAUACAUUUCUCUAUAACACUAUUGUAUGCAUGCCCACACUCCCACGGACU